CAAUUCUGGGUGAAGUACAUGUUAAAGAGGAAGCACAUCUUUAGUUUCCAGUAACUGGCAUUUGGUUAUGGGGUGGCUGUUUUUCUACGUGGAACAAGCAGGGUCCCAGUUCAAGUUUCUGCUGCAUAUCUGAUAAUCUUGAGGUGUUUAUGAAGGACUCCUUUGAAAGUUCUCCACUGAGUUUCCUUAAGGAAUUGGAAUAUAUGUGCCUUGCUUGCCCUUCAACUUCCAUCAUGACUGCAAGUUUCCUGAGGCCUCCCCAGCCAUGUGGAACGCUCUCUGGUUCCUGAAAAGAGAAUCUGCCUGUCUUCAGCCAAAUCUACUGAAGCUAUGCAACACCCCCACCCUUCCAAGAAGUAUUCAAUCCAGGUUUAAGUCCUUCAGCAUCUGACAUUCUCCUAGCAACUGUAAUUGAAUCAAUGAUGACUCAUCAGAGAUGAGCAAGUUGGUCCAGUUAGACCAAACAAAAGACAUUCUAUAAUCAGGAAAGAAGUCUUCUCUAUAUCCCUCUUAUAUGAGCAAGAAAAGUAGGAGAAAGAAGCUCUAUUUCAGAAGCAGUGUGGAGCACAGAGAAUCCCUAAUCACUGACAUUAAGAAAGAAGAAAAAUAUUCCUAGGACGAUCCUGGAGAGCGAAGGUAUUGCAUAAACAUUCUAGGCACUAAAACAACCAGUAAUAGGCUUACUUUUUAUGAAUUACUUUAUUUCAAAUAAUAUCAUCAACCAAGGAGUUUUAUCACGAAGUAACUACUCUUUUCAUUUUAUGAAAUGCAAAUAAAGAGAAAACACAGUAACACCAAAUGAAAUUUACUUUAUGAAAGUUAAAUUAAAACUAGCUUUGCUAGAAUGCAAGCCUAUAAAUGACAAAUAUUGAUCACUUUCUUACCUGGCAGAUGCACUGGAUGCUCUAUUAUUUGUUGACUUUUUAUUCUUUAUAUUUCUAUCUUCAAUUGUUUUCUAUUAAACAGAAAAUGCCAAAGAUGAUUUAUUCAUAACAACUAUCUUUGUUAGGCUUAGAAGCCAAACUGCCAGUAAAUCACUAUUCUUUAAGCAUCUACUAUGUGUCAAACACAGUAGACACUGGGAACAAAUCAGUGAAUAAAAUGCCCUUAAGAAUAUUAAAUUCUAGAGAUGGUUGACCAAAAAUAAAUAUAUAAGCAAACAUGACUCAUGAAGGAGAUAAAAUAGUGUACAGCGACAGAGAAUGACCAGAGUGGGGCUGAAGAAGUUGAUCAGGGAAGGCUGUCCUGAGGGGCUGACAUCAGAGCUGAGACAGAUAAUGAGUGCAAAGGGCCCACUUGAAAGUCUAUGAAAGAAAGAAACAGCAAGUGGUAAAAGCCUGAGAAGGGACAGAGCUUGGCAGCUUUGAAAAACAGAGAGGUGAAUGGAGCUGAAGCAUAGUGAAUGGCAGAGAAGAGUGGAAGACGUGGUCAGAGAAGAACCUUGUGCGAUCACUAGGUGGCGAUGAGGAGUCUGGACGGAAUUCUUGUGAUAAAUCAACAAAAAGACUUUAAUGGAGAAUGAUUCUAUUCCUGUUUAGAAAAGGCCACUCAGUAGAGAAUAAGAAUGAAGCCAAGGGUCCAGUCAACAGAAAUACGUUACAACCUUACUUCUUACAUAUAAAUUGCCUGUUCUAAUUUAGAAUUGCCUCUAUUAGACAUUCUACAAUCCUGUCUAUAAACUCCAGAAUAUCCUUUCUCCUUGUAAGGAAUAACUUUUCUACUUUACGUAGACUGAUGGGUGCUAGUGGUAAAGUGAGAGCAGAGAUAUAAACACAUCCCUAACUCGUCAGUGUUUUUUUCCUAAGGAACGUAGCUAAGGAUGAUAUACCUGGCACAUGGCUUAAUGAACCUUCUCCAUAAACGUUAAGAAAACUUGUAUUUUAUAUUAUAAAAGUAUUGCUCAAACACACAUUUUCAGCUAGCGCUGUUUUCUUCCCCCGAUACUAAGUACACAGCACUGCUAGUUAAUUGCAGCUAUAAGAGAUAAUGAAAAAUUCAGGAGAAACAAAGACUGAAAAUGCUACACCAUAAAUUUUUAAAGUAUAGCACUCAGACACAAUUUAGUUUAGGAACAAGUAAUCCUACAUAAUCACAUAUCUGUUUCUUAAGGUUAGAAUAAUAAUGUUCCCCUCAACAACAACAAAAAAUAACCGCAUUAAAAAGAG